rnacentral:rRNA from 1 species
UACGUAGGGUGCAAGCGUUAAUCGGAAUUACUGGACGUAAAGCGUGCGCAGGCGGUUUUGUAAGUCUGUCGUGAAAGCCCCGGGCUCAACCUGGGAAUUGCGAUGGAGACUGCAAGGCUUGAAUCUGGCAGAGGGGGGUAGAAUUCCACGUGUAGCAGUGAAAUGCGUAGAGAUGUGGAGGAACACCGAUGGCGAAGGCAGCCCCCUGGGUCAAGAUUGACGCUCAUGCACGAAAGCGUGGGGAGCAAACAGG